rnacentral:lncRNA from 1 species
UUACACACUGCAGUCUAAUAUUUAAAUUUACUUAAUUUGAUUUCAGACUAAAUGUACUUUGAUAUUCCUUAUUGUAUUCUUAGUUUCCAGAAUGUCGGAGACAUUCCAACAAAGUGAGGGAGUUUGUAGUAAAGUCAAGUUUCACUUUAUUUAAACUGAUAAAUGGAUUCACAGUCAUUUAUUUAUAGUCAGGUCGUAUAUCGAUGAUCAGUACUCCGUAUUCCGUUGUAUCAUGUUUGUACUCUGUGUUUCGUUGUAUCAUAUUGUAUCGUACUCCGUGUUUGUAUUAUCAUGUUCAGUCGUGCAUUUGAACUUGUUUUGUAGAUAGAAGACGUUUUCAUUGGUCAGUUAUCUUCAUGCACAAAUAACAACUUUUGGCGCGAACUAACAAUUGCACGGCCCUCUAUUCUUCAUUUCUUGAGAAUCAUUGUCCGAGUGAACGCAAGUUACUCUAGAACUAUUGUUAUACUGUAGUAAUUUAAUGUCCUUACCUUUGGACAAUUUACUAUGUCAUAAGUGUACCUUUGCUAGUCGAUUCUGGUUUUUCUCUACACGUACUAUACUGGUACUGUCCAAUAAAUUGAAGAAACCUCAAAA